GGCUCAAAUUUGAAGUAGAGUAGAUUAGAAGUAUCAUCUCACCCUACUAAACUACACUUCUUCGAGUUUGUGCCC
rnacentral:pre_miRNA from 1 species